rnacentral:rRNA from 1 species
UGGGGAAUUUUGGACAAUGGGGGCAACCCUGAUCCAGCAAUGCCGCGUGAGUGAAGAAGGCCUUCGGGUUGUAAAGCUCUUUUGUCAGGGAAGAAACGGUAGUAGCGAAUAACUAUUACUAAUGACGGUACCUGAAGAAUAGGCACCGGCUAACUACGUGCCAGCAGCCGCGGUAAUACGUAGGGUGCAAGCGUUAAUCGGAAUUACUGGGCGUAAAGCGUGCGCAGGCGGUUGUGUAAGUCAGAUGUGAAAUCCCCGGGCUCAACCUGGGAAUUGCAUUUGAGACUGCACGGCUAGAGUGUGUCAGAGGGGGGUAGAAUUCCACGUGUAGCAGUGAAAUGCGUAGAUAUGUGGAGGAAUACCGAUGGCGAAGGCAGCCCCCUGGGAUAACACUGACGCUCAUGCACGAAAGCGUGGGGAGCAAACAGGAUUAGAUACCCGCGUAGUCCCUGAGCGGGC